rnacentral:rRNA from 1 species
UACGUAGGGUGCGAGCGUUGUCCGGAAUUAUUGGGCGUAAAGAGCUUGUAGGCGGUUUGUCGCGUCUGCCGUGAAAGCCCAGGGCUUAACCCUGGGUCUGCGGUGGGUACGGGCAGACUAGAGUGCGGUAGGGGAGAUUGGAAUUCCUGGUGUAGCGGUGGAAUGCGCAGAUAUCAGGAGGAACACCGAUGGCGAAGGCAGAUCUCUGGGCCGUAACUGACGCUGAGGAGCGAAAGCAUGGGGAGCGAACAGGG